rnacentral:rRNA from 1 species
CCUACGGGCGACAGCAGUAGGGAAUAUUGCUCAAUGGGGGAAACCCUGAAGCAGCAACGCCGCGUGAGGGAUGAAGGUUUUCGGAUUGUAAACUCCUUUUGGUAGAGAAGAUAAUGACGGUAUCUAACGAAUAAGCACCGGCUAACUACGUGCCAGCAGCCGCGGUAAUACGGAGGGGGCAAGCGUUACUCGGAAUCACUGGGCGUAAAGGGCGCGUAGGCGGGAUAGCAAGUCAGAUGUGAAAUCCUAUGGCUUAACCAUAGAACUGCAUUUGAAACUGUUAUUCUAGAGUAUGGGAGAGGUAGGUGGAAUUCUUGGUGUAGGGGUAAAAUCCGUAGAGAUUAAGAGGAACACCAAUGGCGAAGGCGACCUGCUAGACCAUAACUGACGCUGAUGCGCGAAAGCGUGGGGAGCAAACAGGAUUAGAUACCCUAGUAGUC